rnacentral:rRNA from 1 species
GAUGAGCGCUAGCUACAGGCUUAACACAUGCAAGUCGAGGGGAAACGGCAUUAAGUGCUUGCACUUUUUGGACGUCGACCGGCGCACGGGUGAGUAACGCGUAUCCAACCUUCCCAUGACUAAGGGAUAACCUGCCGAAAGGCAGACUAAUACCUUAUGGUCUUCACUGACGGCAUCAGAUGUGAAGUAAAGAUUUAUCGGUUAUGGAUGGGGAUGCGUCUGAUUAGCUUGUUGGCGGGGUAACGGCCCACCAAGGCAACGAUCAGUAGGGGUUCUGAGAGGAAGGUCCCCCACAUUGGAACUGAGACACGGUCCAAACUCCUACGGGAGGCAGCAGUGAGGAAUAUUGGUCAAUGGGCGAGAGCCUGAACCAGCCAAGUAGCGUGCAGGAUGACGGCCCUAUGGGUUGUAAACUGCUUUUGUAUGGGGAUAAAGUCAAUCACGUGUGAUUGUUUGCAGGUACCAUACGAAUAAGGACCGGCUAAUUCCGUG